UAUGUGAGAAAAUCAUUGUUUUUAGUAUUGUUGAAAGAAUUAGGUUAAUUAAAUUUAUAAGAAAUUUGUUGGAAGGUGUUUAAAGAUAUAUUAAGAUAAUAAAAAAGAAGAGAUUAAUUCUUGUACUUUUUGUAUCAUGGUCUAUAGAGGUUAGAAAUAUAUAUUUUUUCCUGAAGAUUGCGGAGCUACUUUUUGGGAUUUUUAGUGUUGCAAUAUUAAGGGGAACUAAAAAGUAGUGGUGAAAUGUUUGUCGGAGCAGUUGAUAGCUGGUUAAAAGGAAAAUGUAUUUGAGUACAGGGUUAAAAAAUCUGGUAAUAUGGCCAGAGUUAUUUGAUUUUGAUCUUUUUGGGGUUAAGCUCAAAAAGGUAUGAGUUAAUGAGUUAAGUUAAGGUUAGUAAGUAGGCUUAGAAUUUGCUUUCUUUUUGAGUUUGUUAUAAAUCUAACCUUUCAAACAAUAUUGCUUGAGGUACCUUUAUUUGUUUUUAAUUAUAGAAAAAAGAUUAGUAUAGAAUUAGUAGUAAUCUAAAAUUAUAAAUUUAAAUUUUUUUUGUUAAUUUUAUUAAAGAGUUGAUAGAAAAAAAAUUUAUUUUGAAGGAACUCGACAAAUAUUUUUUUCGCUUGUUUAUCAAAAACAUCGCCUCUUGAGGAAAGAACAUGAGAGGUUGUACCUGCCCUAUGGCUUCAUAAGGUGAAGUUAAAUGGUUGCAGCUAAAUGCUGUACUAAGGUAGCGUAAUAAGUUGCCUCUUAAUUGGGGGCUAGAAUGAAGGGUUUGACGUAAAAAAGUUUGUCUCCAAAAUAAAAGUAUGAAGUUUUCUUUUCAGUGAAAAGUCUGAUAUAAUGGUAAAAGACGAGAAGACCCUGUCGAGCUUGAUAAAACAUACAAAAAAUAGUGUAUUAAUAAGUUUAGCUGGGGCAGUUCGGAACAAAAAAAAGUUUCGUUUAUAUAAUAGGGAUCCGACUCAUGUCGAAUGAAGAAAAAGCUACCGCAGGGAUAACAGCGCUAUUCCUCUUGAGAGGACUAAUUGAAGGGGGAGAUUGCGACCUCGAUGUUGGAUUAAGGUUACUUUCUGGUGCAGCCGUUAGAGUAGUAAGACUGUUCGUCUUUUAAUACCUUACGUGAUCUGAGUUCAGACCGGCGUGAGCUAGGUCGGUUUCUAUCUUUAUUGGGUCAGCUCAUCGUACGAAAGGAUUUGGGUUGUCAGUUUUACUGUUUUAGGUUUAAAGAGGGUAAUUAUUUGGUGUAGUUUAUAAAAGA
rnacentral:rRNA from 1 species